GACAGAGGGUGCAAACGUUGUUCGGAAUUACUGGGCGUAAAGCGCGUGUAGGCUGCUUCGCAAGUCGGAUGUGAAAGCCCUGGGCUCAACCUAGGAAGUGCACUCGAAACUGCGAAGCUUGAGUCCUGGAGAGGAAGGCGGAAUUCUCGGUGUAGAGGUGAAAUUCGUAGAUAUCGAGAGGAACACCGGUGGCGAAGGCGGCCGUCUGGACAGUGACUGACGCUGAGACGCGAAAGCGUGGGGAGCAAACAGG
rnacentral:rRNA from 1 species